AUAAAUUAGUUCUUUUAGUAAAGUGAAACACUUGACUCUGUUUUUGGGUUUUGACGGAUGGAAUUCUCUCCGAUCACCGUUCCCAUUCCAAACCCUAGUCCUUCUCCACCGUGCGAUCUUCCCAAAUCCACAACCUUCCAUUUCUUUUACGACGAUGAUGAUGAAUUCGGGAAUCUCUUUCUCUUCGUCGCUGCAGUUAUGGCUUUCGUCGGAGUCGCAAUUUAUAACCGUUUCUACAUAUCAGAAUGUGCAUGGACAAAGUUCCGUCGAACGGUUACGGUGGAAUUGAUAUCGGAGAAACCAAAUCCGAUUUCGUCGAAGUCUUUUCCAUUAGCGGUAGGAAGGAUGCGGUUUUUUAUUUCUUCUAAAUCUUGCCGUUUCAGUUUUCUUCUCUGCACUUUUGGAUUCGUGUUUGCAAUCAAUCAAGAAAACUAAAGGAGAUUUCUUUUUAUGUGUUUGGGGUCAAUGUUCUUGAAGAAUCUUCAAACCCUAAAAAUGUGUUUUCAAUUCGUGUGGAUAAAAUACUAGACAGUUUCUUGAUUCCACAUUCAACGAAUCUGCGGUCUCUCAAGUGAUGGCUACCUAAGUGUUGAUGAACUGAAAUGUAUACUCGGGCUUAGCAAAAUGUUGCAUCUAGAAGCGAGAAAGUUUCAAAUCCCCCUCCCCACAUGAGGCUCUUCACACGAUUCAAACCACCAGUAGACAAGCACAUGAGUACAAUCAUAAAGGGAAGACAUAUGUCAAAGAAGAAAGGUGUGAAACGAAAAAUGAGCAAAAUUGGGAAAAUAAACUAAGUUGCCAAGUGAAGUGGCAGCAGCAAAUGAGUCAUCGAUCAAACUUUUCUCGAUGCCAUCACGUGGCCAGCAAUACUUUUCACUUUCAAAGGAUUCAAUUUUUGUCUGCGUUUCAAAAGUCCAGUCCUCUAGCACUCAGUCCUCUAUGGUAGGUGACUAGGCGGCGGUGAUGCCGGCUGAGUUGACUAAGAUGUGAACCCGCGGGUGGAAGGCUUCUCGGCGGAAUCGAAGAGAAACUUUACACCGACUGGAUUGGAGAUGUCGGCGCGGACAGUUAUGGCUCGUAGUUGGAAAUGUAGUUAAUGACGAGUCUGGCACCGAGUGAAGCUAGGUGGAGUGCUAUGUCUUCGCCAAUUACGCUGGAGGAGCCGGUGACGAUUGCGACUCUGUCUUGGAGCGGUUAUGAAGUAGCCCUGGCAGUGUGAACCAAUUUCGUUCAGGUGCCUUCAAUCCUUUAUUUUUUCUUUCUUGAUAUCUUAGAACUAUUAUGAGAAAUGUUUGGAUUUGUGACCUCAAUUUAUGAUUUUGAUCAAGGGAAUGAUGAUAUUCUAAAAUGCAAAUCAUCAGACUGCUGAUGAACAUCUAAUGAUAUGAUCCACUUACUUUAGAUUGAUAUUUAUUUAUUCAUUAUUUGAAUAAGAGGUGUACAAUGAAUGUCACAAUCUCCAAAAGUUUGCCUGGAAAUUGAAAUUAUAUGUUAUAAUCUAAUUAGUGAGGGGAAAACAAAUUUGAACAUUUAAAGGCACUAUUUGGUAGAAAUUGAAUUAGUUGGUAUGUUAUGUUUGUUGUUUCUGUCAUCAACUGAUUAAAGAAAAGUUUGAAUGAGAAAUGUAAAUAAAGCAGAUGAAUGAUACAAAUGUGAAGUGUGUUUGAUUGAUUACUCUCUUUGUCAUUGGCUGAACACAUAUAUGUUAUGUUUUCUUACUCUUAGGACAUGAUUGAGUGUUCCACUUUUCUCACUCUUAGUACAUACUCCCUCCAUAUCACAAUAUAUGUCGUUUUUACACUUCUACACAUAUUAAGAAAGGUAAUUAAUGUUGUAUGGAAAAGAGAGAUUAUGAGUUGAUUUACAAAAUUGUCCUUCA